rnacentral:lncRNA from 1 species
GCACCGUCACCACCGUGGCACCAUCCUCCGGCUUCAACUUCCGGGAGGCAAGAACUUAAGGUUCGUUUGCCAAAUGCCAAAGGCCCCAAGUCCAUCGUCCACACUCCACGGCCUUAGAGUUAGAGUUUCGACAUGUUAAAUUGCUUUGGGGAGACAUCAGACAUGUUAGCAUGAUAUAAUAUUCCUGAAUUAGAUGGUGUUCUGUAGACUGUAGUUAUCUUUCAUUAUUUUUCAUCAAAUGUACUUCAUCAAAAAAGAAAACCA